UUUGUACACGAGAACAAAGUAUAGCUGUGUAAGGAUGGGUGCAGGUAACAGGGCCAACUGUCACCAUACCAACGCACGCCACAGCUUCGCCCCCGGCCGGCCCGAUGUUGUGUGUAGGCCUACUCGGUAUGGAGAUCAAUGGUACUCGUGGCUGAGAACCACGUCCCGUGCCGUUGUGCGGUGAGCGUUUUCGAAACCAGUGGAUUCGUUUAGACUUCAGUUUCGCUGGUUCCAGUCAGAACAUGCAGUUUCCAUGUGCGUGUACGCAGCUCGGAAUGUCGUACGCCGAAUUGUUGCGCGCGCACACUGUACGAACUGCACCGGAGAACGGCUGAAAACAGUCCACAACAAUGGCAAGAAUUAACGUUACGUCCGAAUUUAUUUUCCCGUUUUUGUCUUUGGUGGUGAUGUGUCGAAUUUCUUAAAUCACCAGACGUGGAAAUAAGGACGCAUAGGAGUUACAGACGUGAAAUUGGUUCCUUGGAAAAGAUGACUUUGAAGCUGUAAGCGAAGUAAUCAGUGUAAGAGUGCCACAGAACACCAAAGAGAAAGACAACACAUUGGGAGGAUAUUUUCGACGGUUUUCUCAGACACGCACACACACAAUGACCGUGAGCAUGGGUGUACCUAACGAGCGCUUGCGACUCCAUACGCAGUCACAUGUAGUGCGGCGGGCAUCUGGGUUUGAAAGCUGGAUGGAUAUGGAUGAGUUGCUGCAACUGGCUCUGUUUCUGUAUUUCUUCUACUUCUGUGUGUGUGCUCCUUCGCAACUUGAGGACAAUGCCUGCGAGCACGCAGAGUCGUUCCCAUAGUUAGUGCACCGAAGGAUUCAUGGGACCAUGUAUAUAUGAAUAUAAUAUGAGUUUAUGGAUUUAUAUGAAUAUGAAUAAAGUUUUGGGAAAAUUUGUC